rnacentral:rRNA from 1 species
GAUGAACGCUAGCUACAGGCUUAACACAUGCAAGUCGCGGGGCAGCAUGGGGGUUGCUUGCCAUCCCCGAUGGCGACCGGCGCACGGGUGAGUAACGCGUAUCCAACCUGCCCUUCACCACGGGAUAACCCGGCGAAAGUCGGACUAAUACCGUAUGUUGUCCAUUGACGGCCUCCGAUUUGGACGAAAGGUUUGGCGGUGAAGGAUGGGGAUGCGUCCGAUUAGCUGGACGGCGGGGUGACGGCCCACCGUGGCGACGAUCGGUAGGGGUUCUGAGAGGAAGGUCCCCCACACUGGAACUGAGACACGGUCCAGACUCCUACGGGAGGCAGCAGUGAGGAAUAUUGGUCAAUGGGCGUAAGCCUGAACCAGCCAAGUAGCGUGCAGGAUGACGGCCCUAUGGGUCGUAAACUGCUUUUAUGCGGGGAUAAAGUGGCCCACGUGUGGGUUUUUGCAGGUACCGCAUGAAUAAGGACCGGCUAAUUCCGUG